GUGUGGAGCUGACACACAAUUUAAGUUCUGGCCGAGCUCGGUCAUGAGCCAUGGGGGCGGGGGGGGGAGGUCCUCGAACUUGUCUGCAAGGGUGACCGGCCCUAGUGUGAGACAUCACCCCACAAUCCGAUUGGCAGAGUCCCAGAGCAGUUGAUUAGGAGCUGGACGAGGAAGCCACCUGCUUGGUUUUUUUCCUGGCAUCCUGACCUGGCAUCUCCCAUGUGGUUCCAGGCCUCCACCCGCCUCCGGUAAAAGUCCCUCAAGGCGUUGGCAAAUGCUGUGAGGACAGGAACCGUGGGGCGUUCAGAGAUCGAUCCGGGAGACUCCAAGGCAAAAGGCAUCUUCCUUCACAGCCAGGGUCUUCUACUCAACUGCGUUGAUUCAGAUGCAUCCCAAAGUUGUAGUCCUUCCCAGCAGGGAGUGAGUUAAUUCUUUCUGCCCAGUGGGGAGUGAUCCCUAAUGGG